rnacentral:rRNA from 1 species
UACGUAGGUGACCAGCGUUGUCCGGAUUUACUGGGCGUAAAGAGCGCGCAGGCGGUCGUUCAAGUCGAGUGUGAAGGCCCCCGGCUCAACUGGGGAGGGUCACUCGAUACUGAUCGACUUGAAGGCAGGAGAGGGAAGCGGAAUUCCCGGUGUAGUGGUGAAAUGCGUAGAUAUCGGGAGGAACACCAGUGGCGAAGGCGGCUUCCUGGCCUGUUCUUGACGCUGAGGCGCGAAAGCUAGGGGAGCAAACGGGG